rnacentral:rRNA from 1 species
GACGAACGCUGGCGGCGUGCUUAACACAUGCAAGUCGAACGGAGUGGCGAACGGGUGAGUAAUACCUAGGAAUCUGCCUGGUAGUGGGGGAUAACGUUCGGAAACGGACGCUAAUACCGCAUACUAUCAGAUGAGCCUAGGUCGGAUUAGCUAGUUGGUGAGGUAAUGGCUCACCAAGGCUACGAUCCGUAACUGGUCUGAGAGGAUGAUCAGUCACACUGGAACUGAGACACGGUCCAGACUCCUACGGGAGGCAGCAGUGGGGAAUAUUGGACAAUGGGCGAAAGCCUGAUCCAGCCAUGCCGCGUGUGUGAAGAAGGUCUUCGGAUUGUAAAGCACUUUAAGUUGGGAGGCGUUACCGACAGAAUAAGCACCGGCUAACUCUGUGCCAGCAGCCGCGGUAAUAC